UGGGGAAUAUUGCACAAUGGGCGCAAGCCUGAUGCAGCCAUGCCGCGUGUGUGAAGAAGGCCUUCGGGUUGUAAAGCACUUUCAGCGAGGAGGAAGGCGUUAAGGUUAAUAACCUUAGCGAUUGACGUUACUCGCAGAAGAAGCACCGGCUAACUCCGUGCCAGCAGCCGCGGUAAUACGGAGGGUGCAAGCGUUAAUCGGAAUUACUGGGCGUAAAGCGCACGCAGGCGGUUUGUUAAGUCAGAUGUGAAAUCCCCGAGCUUAACUUG
rnacentral:rRNA from 1 species